rnacentral:misc_RNA from 1 species
AAGUUACCCCAAGUACUCAUACCUGUAAGCACAAAAACAUUAAAGAUAUGUAAAUAGACUAGCAAUAGAACUUUUUUCAAUAAGAAUUAUAUUAGACUGCCAUGUAUAAACUGACCAAGAAGAGGAAAAAAAAAUAGGGAUAUGAAUUCUAUAAAGACCAGGGUUUUCACUUCCAGUCAGCAAUUGAAUCUAGUCUAUUGGCUAUGUAUAUUUUUUCACAAAUACACCAUAACAAAGAAAGCAGGAUGCACAUUGCACACCAAAUCAAGACACAAAGCUCUAGUGGACCUCUUAAGAGAUUCAAGCAUCAUUUAUAAUGUCAAUAAAGAUCUAUUGCAGGAGAUAUGACAGAGAAUCAUUCUACAGAGUUCCCCAUCAAAAAUUGAAAAACUUGUGUUCUUUGGAAAUAUUCAGUUGUCAUAUGAUCCAAAAACAUCUGAGAAGCAAGCAAGACCUAAUCAACCAAAUGACUCCAUCAAACAAGUAUGGUACCCUGAAUUGGCUUCAGGGGCUAAAUUAAUGUGAGAAUGCAUAAUUAAGGAUUAUAAUCACAGGAUUGCUACGUCAAAUGCCUUUUAAAUAGUUUACAGCUGUUGUUGCAUAAUAUUAGGAUUUCAUAUUUGGAGUUUUAAAUACACCUUAAACAAAGCUCACAAUAGCAUUGUGAUCUCUUUUGCUAUUCCCGAAUCCCAACAGAAAACUUAGGACAAAAGCCUAUCGAUUGGAUAACUUUGACAAAUAGUUUUCCAUGUAUGUUGCUCUAUAUGCUUCUCUUGUUUAAAAACUCGAUUCUACUUUCAAAAUUAAUAGAUUAUACAAACAUAACUUUUACUUUCCAAGAUUUCUUAUUUAAUAAUCAUUGUAAAUUAAUGACAUUGACACUUUCCUAAAAAGUAGGCAUCUUUUCAUAAUAUGUUUAGAUUGAUUUUCAAAUGGUGAAUACACCAGAGAUCUUACUUAUAGCAACAGCAAAAAGGC